rnacentral:lncRNA from 1 species
AAUAUUUAAGUAAAAUGACAGCGAAAAAUAAACAGAGCAUCAUGGCUCGAAUUCAACAACUAACAUCACUGAAAAACAUCCUAAAUCGUGGAAAACAACCACUAUAAAAUAAGUCUGACAAACAACUAAAAACAUGAAAGACUGUCUCAAAACUAUGAAAACACUAAAAGAGAUAGUUGAGGUCCUCCAUGCUACCUCUUUCUGCGACUCCCAGAGUCACACUACUAUAGCAGCCUGAAACUCUGAACUGCAGUAGAGCUUAUGCUCAAAUCAUAAACAUUUGUUUGUGCAGUAGAUCACACUCUACUGCACAGCCUGAAACUCUAACCUGCAUAGCAAAUAUGUAUAUAUAUAUAUAUUAGAUCGCACACUACUGUACAGUUUUGAAAAUGCAAUCAAGGAUUCCUGAUAACUAAUUGCAAU